rnacentral:rRNA from 1 species
CACGUGGGGUAACCUGGCCUGUAAGACUGGGGAUAACUCCGGGAAACCGGGGCUAAUACCGGAUGGUUGUUUGAACCGCAUGGUUCAAACAUAAAAGGUGGCUUCGGCUACCACUUACAGAUGGACCCGCGGCGCAUUAGCUAGUUGGUGAGGUAACGGCUCACCAAGGCAACGAUGCGUAGCCGACCUGAGAGGGUGAUCGGCCACACUGGGACUGAGACACGGCCCAGACUCCUACGGGAGGCAGCAGUAGGGAAUCUUCCGCAAUGGACGAAAGUCUGACGGAGCAACGCCGCGUGAGUGAUGAAGGUUUUCGGAUCGUAAAGCUCUGUUGUUAGGGAAGAACAAGUACCGUUCGAAUAGGGCGGUACCUUGACGGUACCUAACCAGAAAGCCACGGCUAACUACGUGCCAGCAGCCGCGGUAAUACGUAGGUGGCAAGCGUUGUCCGGAAUUAUUGGGCGUAAAGGGCUCGCAGGCGGUUUCUUAAGUCUGAUGUGAAAGCCCCCGGCUCAACCGGGGAGGGUCAUUGGAAACUGGGGAACUUGAGUGCAGAAGAGGAGAGUGGAAUUCCACGUGUAGCGGUGAAAUGCGUAGAGAUGUGGAGGAACACCAGUGGCGAAGGCGACUCUCUGGUCUGUAACUGACGCUGAGGAGCGAAAGCGUGGGGAGCGAACAGGAUUAGAUACCCUGGUAGUCCACGCCGUAAACGAUGAGUGCUAAGUGUUAGGGGGUUUCCGCCCCUUAGUGCUGCAGCUAACGCAUUAAGCACUCCGCCUGGGGAGUACGGUCGCAAGACUGAAACUCUAAGGAAUUGACGGGGGCCCGCACAAUCAGUGGAGCAUGUGGUUUAAUUCUAAUCAACGCGAAGAACCGUACCAGGUCUUGACGUGCUCUGCCUAUCCCAAACAUAGGAAUUCCCCUUCCCGUGCGAGGAAAAGUUA